GCUCCCAUCGUCUAGCGGUCCAGGACGUCGCCCUCUCACGGCGAAAACUGGGGUUCGAUUCCCCAUGGGAGCGCCA
rnacentral:tRNA from 2 species